GAAGCAGUGAGGAGUAUGCCAGUAGGCAGCAGAGGCUCCGACAGAACUAGACUAUCCAGCAGAAUCUGAUCAGGUACACGGGUGGCUCUAUCGACACACAUAUUGUGGUCAACAGACAUGUAAGAAAUCUAUACCAAACUCUUCACUAGAACCGUAAAACUCUUAUAUGUAUAUUUUAAUUAAUUUAAUUUUAUUAUUUACUUAUUGUAAAUACAGCAGCUAGAUCAUCCACCAAGCCAGCUAUAGUUGUGGGAGGCCAUACACUAGUCUAGGAGGAUU
rnacentral:lncRNA from 1 species